rnacentral:tRNA from 1 species
GUCCGGUUAGCUCAGUUGGUUAGAGCGUGGUGCUAAUAAUACCAAGGUCGUGGGUUCGAUCCCUGUACGGGGCA